rnacentral:rRNA from 1 species
AGUAAAUUGGUUAAGUUAGAAAGGGCGCACGGUGGAUGCCUUGGCACUAGGAGCCGAAGAAGGACGGGACUAACACCGAUAUGCUUUGGGGAGCUGUACGUAAGCGUUGAUCCAGAGAUUUCCGAAUGGGGGAACCCACUAUCUUUAGUCGGAUAGUAUCCUUACGUGAAUACAUAGCGUGAGGAAGGCAGACCCAGGGAACUGAAACAUCUAAGUACCUGGAGGAAGAGAAAGAAAAAUCGAUUUCCUGAGUAGCGGCGAGCGAAACGGAAAGAGCCCAAACCAAGAAGCUUGCUUCUUGGGGUUGUAGGACACUCUAUA